CUUUUGAUGUCAUUGCUAAUGAACCAUUACCUAAUCCAAGGUCCUGAUGAUGGCUGCCUCUGUGUUUUCUAUGAGGUUUAGGUCAUUGAUUCAUCUAAGUUAAUUUCUGCAUCUGGUGUGAGGUGGAACAUAAAUCCAUGCUUUUGCACAUGACUAUGCAGUUGACCCCCCACCGUUUGUCAAAUAGACUUUCUCUCCCAUUGAAUGUGCAUCACCCUUGCUGAAAAUCAACGGACUACAAGUGUGAAGGUGGUUUUGACAAUGCUGCGUUCCUUGAAUUUCCAACAGUGGGAUCAUACUUCACAAUGAGAUUUGGAGGAGACACACAUCCACCACAUAGCUUAGGAGAAGGGGCUGCA
rnacentral:lncRNA from 1 species